UAUAAGUAGCUAGAGAGAAGUUAGAGAAAAAUUCAAGAGCGAGAAAGUUCUUAGUUUUCAUAAAGUUUUUAGUUUUCAAAAUUUGUAAGUUAGUUCAAAAAAAAAAGUGUGUAUUAUUUUCUUAGUUCUUCAUUUUCCGGUAGUUGUCAGCUUUCAGGGGACUCCCGUAAGGGAAACCUCACUUCUUCCUUAAGACAUUUUUGGAGCUGCAAGAGUGACACAUCAAAUCGAUUGCAUGAGGAAUAACGUGAAAGAUGCAGAUUUUGAAGCGUAGCAUCUAGGAGGAAAUUACAUCUUUAUUAUUUAUUAAUGAUUGUAUUAACUUCAAAAUACUGCGUUUGAGCAUAUCAAACUGGAAAGUAAGGCUUUGCAGCUUAAACUGGAGAAUUACUUCAAGGUGAAGAAUCAAGAUCCACCUACUGAGAUUGAGGACCAACCUGACUAUGGAGAUGUAGAUUUUGAUAGUGAGUGAAUGCGACGUCUCUAGUUGGGCAAUGCCAUCAGAAAGCUAUCAGUCAGUGAAGGAAUAAAUGGGAAUUAGAGAAAGCAAAUUUAAUUUUUCUUUUUCAUUGUAUCCCUAGUUGUAGUGUUAAAAAAAUGAAAUUGAUCUGGGUUCUACCUAUGAUCAUGUGACUUUAUAAUCUAUUUUCAUGUUGUUGUUUGAUGAGAAUGCAUGUUUGGAA